AUUCUUUUUUUUUCUUUUCAAAGCAAAAGCAAGUUUAUUAAGAAAGUGAAGGAAUAAAGAAUGGCUACUCCAUAGGCAGAGCAGCAACUUAUGCCGCUCAGCUGAUUAUACUUAUUGUUACUUCUUGAUUAUAUGCUAAACAAGGGGUGGAUUACUCAUGAGCUUUCUGAUAAAGACGAGGGCAAUUCCCAGAACUGGAAAACUUACAGAAAUUCUUGAAUCAUAGAAACUUGUAACUGAAUGACAAUUUAGCAGUCAUUAAGCCCACCCUCCUCAUAUUACAGAUAAGGAAACUGAGGCACAGAGAAGCAAAGUGAGUUAUAGUUCCUAAGACUAAAGCCUGAAGAGAAAAGAAGUUGGGCACAUUGAUGUGGGGAAAAAUGUAGGUUCUCAGCACAUGCCGUGAGAUCUAUGAAAACUGACUCAUUCAUUUUAGAUGAGGUAAGUGUUGACAUUAGGGAAUUUGGUGGGCAGCAUUUAUUUUCCUAUUUAUUAAAAUGUCAGAAAGAGUACCGAUGGCACCUCCUAAAAAGCUUGCAGGUGGUGAUCUUCAGAAAAUACCCUCAAAGAGGACAAGAAUGCUAAUAUUCUAGCUUGAUGAUGAAAAUAAGGCUAGUACAAUCAAGAUAUCAAAGUAGGAACAGUUCAUAAAAAAACUAUGAAAGUAAGACAGACAUAUAUAUGUAUGUAAAGAUAGACACAUAUAUUUAUAUACAUUUAUAAAAUACAUGUACAAUAAACCACGCUUAAGAGUUGUAGAAUAUUAAACUAGAAAAAGUCAGACUUCAAAGAACUUUACUCUUUGAAUAAAUUCACCAAUGCUUUUUCAAUAAUUUACUUCUUUUCAAGUUAUAUUUUGUGUAUGUCCCAGUGGAAGACAAUAUUGCCCCUGGACAUUUAAAGGAGCACAGAGAAGUGGAAAAUGACCAUUCCCU
rnacentral:lncRNA from 1 species